CCAUAACUCCGAGCUCAUUUAGCUAAGUUCACCACGUCGGUAAGGAUAUGCGGAAUGAGCCAGUGACAAAGUGUCACCAGGGCUGAAUUAGAAAUGAUCCCGCCUCCCGUAUUUGGAAAGGUGUUCCAUGGCG
rnacentral:ncRNA from 1 species